GACGAACGCUGGCGGCGUGCCUAAUACAUGCAAGUCGAACGCAGUGGGGACGGGGGAGUAACACGUGGGGAACCUCCCAACAGAGGGGAUAACACUUGGAAACAGGUGCUAAACCGAUACUGAUGGAUGGACCCGCGGUGCAUUAGCUAGUUGGUGAGGUAACGGCUCACCAAGGCAACGAUGCAUAGCCUGCCUGAGCGGGUGCUCGGCCACACUGGAACUGAGACACGGCCCAGCAUCCUACGGGAGGAAGCAGUAGGGAAUCUUGUGCAAUGGACGCAAGUCUGAACGAGCCAUGCCGCGUGUGUGAAGAAGGUUUUAGGAUGGUAAAACUCAGUUGUUGGAGAAGCGGUAUCUACCCAGAAAGCCCCGGCUAACUACGUGCCAGCAGCCGCGGUAAUAC
rnacentral:rRNA from 1 species